rnacentral:rRNA from 1 species
AGUGAACGCUGGCGGUAGGCCUAACACAUGCAAGUCGAACGGCAGCACAGUAAGAGCUUGCUCUUACGGGUGGCGAGUGGCGGACGGGUGAGGAAUACAGCGGAAUCUACUUUUUCGUGGGGGAUAACGUAGGGAAACUUACGCUAAUACCGCAUACGACCUACGGGUGAAAGCAGGGGAUCUUCGGACCUUGCGCGAUUGAAUGAGCCGAUGUCGGAUUAGCUAGUUGGCGGGGUAAAGGCCCACCAAGGCGACGAUCCGUAGCUGGUCUGAGAGGAUGAUCAGCCACACUGGAACUGAGAAACGGCCCAGACUCCUACGGGAGGCAGCAGUGGGGAAUAUUGGACAAUGGGCGCAAGCCUGAUCCAGCCAUACCGCGUGGGUGAAGAAGGCCUUCGGGUUGUAAAGCCCUUUUGUUGGGAAAGAAAAGCAGCUGGUUAAUACCCCGCUGUUCUGACGGUACCCAAAGAAUAAGCACCGGCUAACUUCGUG